GCAGCGUAGCAUAGUGGUAAGGAGUGAGGCUUGUAACCAAAAGGUUACUGGUUCAAUUCCAUGCUGGGGCA